AGUGGAAUGUAAACCCCACGAUAUCAAUCUCCUAACUGGAAUUAUGGUACCUAAAGAAAGGAUCUUGAUGCCAGCUUUAGCACCAGUGAAAGGAGAAAUCAUUGAUUUAACUUCAGAUUUUAUCCAAAAGAGGAAGCAGCCAUCGUUUGAGGGGUCUGUUGAUCGAAAGAUUUAUACCUGUGAGUACCUUCACUGUCCAUAUAGCAAUUAUCAAGCUGGAUUCCUUGACAGGACUACAAGAAAUAAUCAUCAAAUGGAUUGUCCAUUCCGUUUCAACGGCUUUAGCUCCAGUGAAGGGAGAGAUCAUUGAUUUAACUUCAGAUUUUAUCCAAAAGAGGAAGCAGCCAUCUUUUGAGGAGUCUGUUGAUCAAAAGUUGUAUACCUGUGAGUACCUUCACUGCCCAUAUAGCAAUUAUCAAGCUGGAUUCCUUGACAGGACUUCAAGAAAUAAUCAUCAAAUGGAUUGUCCAUUCCGUUUCAACUCUGCUCAACGACUUGGCAUGCCGCCAAAGUAUCACAUCAACAAUGAGAAUAAUACAGUUUUUCCUGCUCAAAUUGCGACUAAGCCAGCUACUUCAUCAGUCACAGCUUCCUCGUCGAUGACUGUCUCUGGGCUUGGACUCCCUGAAGAUGGCCAAAGGAUGAUUUCUGACCUCUUUACAUUUUAUGAUAACAACUUGCAGCAAAAUAGUAGCAUCUGUUCUGGAAAUUCCAAGAUUCUAGCAAAUCAAAGCAUGCAGCAGAACCAAACAGUUGAACUUCCGAUGGACGACAACUUCAACCUGGGACAUUUGGAGGCAGAAGCUCAAGAAUAUUCUAGCAAAUCAAAACAUGCAGCAGAACCAAACAGUUGAACUUCCGAUGGACGACAACUUCAACCUGGGACAUAUGGAGGCAGAAGCUCAAGAAACAAGCAUGACCAUGAAUUCAGCUUAUACUUCGACGGAGUUUCAAUAUGAUCAAUGCAAGUUGCCCUUUGAUGCCCCAUUUGCCGGAAACUUGAACGAUACUACUGAUUACAGAUUUGGUUCCCCAUUCAACAUGGGAGGAAGUGACUAUUCCAUAGAUCAGCUGACAAAGCAGGAUAUAUCUACAUGGUACCUCUGAAACAAGUCUUUGUUGUUUCUAUAUGAAGAGCUGAUAGGUUGUAUAUGUUUAGAUAGCUGUAUCCUUUAUAGACAAGUAUUGUAGUUUCUUUUGUGAUUUAGUUGAUGUUUUGAUGGUUGUAAGUGCUGAAGACAGUAUUAUGCUUAUGGAAAUUAUAUGCUUUAAACUCACUCUUAUUUACGUUAUUGAUUAUACAAUAGGAACCACUUCAUAGAUUGACAAUCGCUUUGCGUUUUCAUCUUCAUUAUACACUACUAUCUCUAGACCUCACUCGUGUGUUUUCACUGGGUCGUUGUUGUUGUCGUCGUCACGUGAUCUUGUUUGGAGAAAGUGCUUCCCGUUUAGUGGAUCCUAUAUGGUGUAAUCCAAAAUGUUUGAUGGCUAAUAAAACAAAUGCGACUAAAGUCCUAGCUUGCCUAACCCUAUGUUUUUCUAACAAAUCACAUGGUUCAUACUUGUAAUAAUAAUGUGAACUCAGUUGCAAUGUUUUGUUCGGUAUAAGUUAAAUCUAAGUGCCAUUUUUGUAAAACUCGUUGGUGCUAUGAAUAAAGUCUUUCUUUGAAAAGAAAAAAAGAUGUAAAGAAAGUUAAGGUUUGGAAACUUUCUUUUCAACACUGUUUGGUUUGGCAAAACGUGAACAAUUAAAUUGAAUUAUAAUGUUCCAACUACCUAAAUUAAAUGUCAAAUAAGAAAAGGUUUGUCCCCUUUCAAAAUUACACAUAAGUGCUGCUUCUCCUUCACUCUCUACAUUCCAGAUUUACCACUAUUUACUUCUGCUACUUUCACAGUUUAAUGGAACUAACGAACAAGUAUACGUUCAAAAUUUAGAGCCCGUUUGAUCAUGAAUUUUUUUACUUUUUUUUUCGAAACUUUUACUUUUUCGAAAUUAUUGUUUGACCAUAAAUUUUUCAAUUUCCACUUGAAGAUAAUUUUGGAUUUUUUCGAAAAUUUGAAAAACUUCAAAAGGUUGUUUUUCAAAACUUCCACUGAAAUCACUCACAAAAAAUAAAAAACAAUCCAAAAUUAUAUUCUUGUCCAAAUAAAACUCUAAUUUCCAAUUGAAUUUUUUAGUAUUUUUAUGCCCAAACUCCCACUUAAAUGGAAGAAAAACAGUGAAUAUGUUAAUCUAUAUACUCAUUACCCCUCCUAAGUCGUCCACUAAAUUCAUUACGUUGCUCCAAUAAUUCAGACGGACCAAUUAAUUAAUUAAAUUACUUAUCUGAUUUUGUACAGUAUUUGUAUGGCUAUUGGCCAUUAGCUUAAAAUCACCAUAAGCUAAACUAUUAAUAACAAGAUUAAAAGAAGAAUUUGAUUCUUUGAAAAGAUCCACUAGGAGUAUUUAUAAAUGAGAAAUAGAGACUUCCAAUAUGAAGAAGAAAUAAGACAGUAUAUUCCUAAGGCAUGUGCUUCGAGAUAAAUUAUUUUAAAAGCAUCUUUUAGCUCUGUUUACUUUUGAAUUGAUUCUUUUAAGGAACUAAAAAUAACUAUUGACAAGUAUAAACACAAGACAUGACACAUGUACUUAGAGAUAAGUUAUUAAAAGAUCUUCUAGAUGUUUUUACUUUUAAAAUGAUUUUAAUUCUUUCUAUUACGGGUAGACCAAGAAAAGCAGUCAAAUUACGUGUCUUUGAUUGUUUAGUUGAAAGUGAAAGUUAUUAGGAUUUUCUCUUUUUACAAGUUUCAAAAGGUGCUAUAAAACCUCUAUGUCUAAAUUAAACGGAAAAAGUCUAAAAUGUCACUUAAUUUUUAGAAAUGAUCUACACAUGUCAUCCGUUAGAAAAAAUAUUCAUUUUAUGUCAUUAUUACAUAUUUCGCCCAUUUAUGCCAUUGACUAACGGCUCAAUUUUUAUUUGGCACAUCCAUGCCACUGCCGUUAGUUAAUAAUGGCAUGGAUGGGCCAAAUGUGUAACAGCAGUGGCAUGAAAUAGGUUUUUUUUUUUUAACGAAUAUCAUAGAUAGAUCAUUUCUGAAAGUUGAGUGGCAUUUUAAAACCUUUUCCGUAAAUUAAAUGGGUGAAAACAUUCUCGUCUACUAUAUAGAUAGGUAGUAAUGGACGAGCACAUAAAUGAUAUAAACUUAUUCGUAUGGGAUAUUUAUAUCAAAUUAAAAUAUUUUUAAUUUAAAUUGAAAUCGUUAAGAAUUAAAGUGAGAAUACCAUUCAUUAAAUUAUGGUUGACUCAUAAAUGUAUGUAUAAAAAAUACAUAUUUUAUAUUAAUUGAUUUGGUAUAAAUAUCCGAUACGAAUAAACUUUUAUCCAUAUAAAGCUCUUUGCUUUGCCAUGACCAAGUCAAAAUUAGGUAUAAAUCAUUAGACUUUCUUGCUCAAUGACAAUUAAGUUUUACUUGCUUAAUUCGGAGCUUAUUGGUACCACUCGUGCAUUAUGUCACCUUCAACAUGCAUUAUGUUUGGUUCCUUUAAGGAGAAGGCGCUAUUUAAUUUUUGGUAUAUUUAUUAAGAAAAUUAUUUAAUAUUUAGCAUUAAUUAUAUAUGUUAUUUGACUUAAUGUUCUUUUUUUAAUCAUAAAUUGAGAACAAAACUAACAGAAAAUUCAAGAACGAAAUUCAGCAUAGAAGAAGAAGGAGAAAUCAAAACUCCCAUGCUUAUAAAGGCAAAAUAAAGUUUAAAAGGUUAAGCCCCACGUGACUAACCGUCGAGGCAAAGGUUCUCUCAUGAUUACUCUUUUUCUCACCUCAAAUUUUUUAUACUUCCUUUACCCCAAAUUAACAAUCAUUUUCGCUCAAAAAAUUAUCCCAAAAUAGUUGUUCCUUUAGGAAUUCAAAACGGUUUGAAAAAAAGUACUUUUGAGUAGAAGCAGAAGCAGUAAUAGAAAAAAGUAGCUUCUCUUUAAAAACAGUUUUUUGAAAAGCACUUUUCUGAAAAAUACACUUAAAAGUAGUUUUUAAAGCUUGGUCAAACACUAAUUGCUGCUCAGAAGUACUUUUCAAAUUAAUUAGCAAACACAAAUUGAUUCUCUCCAAAAAUACUUUUGAAAAAAAUACUGAAAAAAUACUUCUCAAGAUAAGCUGAUUUUUGCAGCUUGGCCAAACAUGCUAUAAAUUUGUUUAUUGUUUCCAAUUAUACCAUUAUAUUAAAGAAGUUGUAGUUUUUUUUUUCAGUAAUAGUAAAUUCUCAAAAACAUUUAAUAGAGUAACUUAGUAAACUAAAUCUUAUAUUUAUCAUUUUCUUAAAUAAAGUUAACAAGACUAAAAUGGGACGGAGGGAGUAACAUAGCAAUUUAGGGCAAAAAAGAAUUUCGACGUUGUCUUCUAUUCCUACUAUUUACAAGCGGGAGUUUAGCAGGUCACCGUCGUCCUCCUUUUUGGGGCAAUUUUGUAAAUUUGUGAUGCAUGUUUUAAUUGAAUUCGCGAGGAUUGGAAUCAUUGUUUUGAUAUAGCGCCGCAUCUUGUUUUAGAUUGCUCUUAUCGGUUUGCCGACUUCUUAUAAUGUGUCUGCAAGAAAUGAACUAAUCAUAUUGGUUGGUAAUUGUUGUUACUAUAGUCCGAUGGUAAAACUUUGUGGUACUUCAUAACAGGACGAUUUUCUUGAUGCUCCGCCCAAGAUCUAUUUACCCUUAUACGUAACUAUUAUUUUAUGAUAAUUCCAUGGCACUGCAGUAGGAUCUUUCAUGAACUUCUGUGGCGCGCAAACAAUAACUACAUACUCAGUCAGCUUUGGUGGAUUAGUUGGCCCCCGCACCACAUAGGCUCCUUUGGGUAGGUACAUCUGGGCUCCCUUCUUCAGUUCAAACCCGUUUGGAGGGCUCAAUGUCAACUGCUCUUCUUUACGGCCUCGUGGGACAUAAAGACUUCCAUCUUUUGGAGGCAUUGCCUCUGUUCCCGUUUCAACUAUCUUUUCUGGUUCUGUCUUGGUGACUUUAUUCUUCUUUUUCCCUUUAUCUUGCUUCGGGGCAAUUUUUGGCUUUCUCUCUUCAUUCGCAAUGGCAAUUAUGGCCUUUAGCACCAGAUCAAAUUUUUUAUCUUCACAAAUCAUCCCAAUCACUAGCCCGUUGUUGUGGGCUGUCAAUGGAUUAUUGGUCACCUUUGGUACAUCAUCAUCCCUUAACACUACUUUGCCUUGCUCUAUCAAGUUCUCCACCGCUCUUUUCAAGGUCCAACAAUCAUUUGUAUCGAGCCUUUCUGCCCCUCAAUGAUAGGCACAUCUGACACCUGCUCUGUAAGCAGGUGACACUGGAUUUUGCCUUGUUUGAGGGACUAGCUGCAGUAGACCCAUUUGGACAAGCUUUGGGAAUAGAUUGGAGUAGGAUUCACCGAUUGGAGUGAAAGUUUUCCUCUUGGAUGGCUCACGAGGAGGAAAAUAUUCUGUGGAGGACAAGGAUUAUAGUGGUUUUGGUAAGGAGGCUGAUUUCUUAUGAAUGGAGCUUGGUUUUUAUUAGCAUGUUUCUGCGAUCGUACAAAAGGUUGAGCAUUCAUGACCGCAUAUGGUUGAGAAGCAUAGGCCAUGUCGUGGUGAGGGUAAUAAUGUUGAGGGGAUCUUUCUAAGAAUAUGGGUCUAGGAGCGCGGUGUCUUCUUUCACCCGAGGCCGCCAUGGCUAUUUCUUCUUUCUUCUUACCCUUUUUCAUUCCUCCAGACCCGCUUUGGAUGGCUUGGGAGGUUGCUCUAAUAGCCGAUUGGCUCAGAAUUCUGCCUGUUUUCAAUUCAUUCUCCACCAUUUCACCAAUUUUAAUAUCUUUGGCGAACAUUUUACCCAUGGCUGACAUCAUAUUCUGGAAAUAAUCAGCUUCUUAAGCUUGGAGAAAUACCGUAACCAUUGUCACCUCGUCCAUUCGAGGCUCUACCCUUGACGCCUAUUCAUGCCAUUUGAUUGCAUAUUCCUUAAAACUCUUAGAGUACUUCUUUUUUAGAUUUGUCAAUGAGUUCCGGUCUGGAGCAAUGUCAAUAUCAUACUGGAACUGUCUAACAAAGUCUCUUGCGAGGUCAUCCCAGAUGUCCCAAUGAGAAAUAUCCUGAUCCAUGUACCACUCAGAGGUGAUACCCACCAAAAUUUCUCCAAAAUAAGCCAUGGGCAAUUCUUCUUUUCCUCCAGCUCUGCGCAACUGAUUGCAGUACUUCUUAAGGUGAGCAAUAGGAUCACCAUACCCAUCGUAUUUUUUGAACUUUGUAGUUUUGAAUCCCAUAGGCAAAUGCACGCGAGGGAACAUGCAUAGAUAGUAUAUGACAUACUCUUCUGCCCACUCAGACCCUGCAUGUUUUUGAGCUCUGCUAUAGGUUUCUCAUCCUUUUUUCCAUUUCAUCAUAUUCGGAAGCUUUAGGAGUCUUGUCCUGUCCUCUUGUGAACCUAAAUGGAGGUGGCUGAGGGUAAGUAUAGGUGGGGUACUGAGGAGGCUCCGUUUGGUAAGUGGGUGUUUGGAAUGUAAAGGCCGACAGAUCAAAAAUGGGUUUGGGCAGUGCAGGCUGUGUUGUGGCCGAGCAUGGGGGAGCGGUAAAGAUAUUAGGAGUUGCUCCGGGCAUGAAGACUUGGGGGCGGACCUCAGAAGGUGUUCCUACGAAAUGAGCCGAUAUGGUGGGCUGUCCCAGUGAGACAUUUGGAUGGCUGAUGGUAACAUUGAAGGUAUCGAUUGAUCUAGGGAACAAUUUGGGGAAUUCGGGGAUGGCACUUGGAGGCACCCUUCCAUUCAUCCAUGCAUCCCACAUUUCCAUGACCCUAAGACGUAGGAUCCUAUUUUCCUUGGCCGCUGCAAACUCUUAGACCGGGAUGCCCGUGAUUGGGCUAUCCUCUGAGAUGAGAAUUGCUCAUUUUCGAAGACAUUUCUGUGCUACCCUUCGAUCUGGUAAAGUAGGGAUGUGAAGCCAGUUUACCACGAAAAACCAACCACCAUUUCUAUAAAACCUGGACUGGAUCUAGGUAUUUGGAAGGAAAUGAAGAUCAACACGGCAAUUAAAUCAGCAACAACACAUAAGAGAGGCGAUUGCAACAGAAAACAACAAUUCCAGCUCAAAACCCAAGAAUAAAGGACAUGAUGCAACAGAUUCCAAAACAACUUCAAUCAACCAACAAAAUCAAGUUGAAUUUGAAAACCAAGUUGGAUGAAACAGCGCAAUCGAAUGAAAUAGAUCUGGAAUUUUUCAGUGAUUUUUUCAAGCUUUAGAUUUGGAUUUUGAUUUUUUCCCCAGAAUUUUGGAUCCCUAGACUGCUCUUAAACUUCUAGAACUCUCUUUGAAAUUUUAGAUCUCUAAAACCUUCUAAAAACCUCAUUUGCAAGGCAAAUGGUAUGCCUAUUUAUAGGCAAAACUAGGGUAACUUUUAGAUUUUAUUUUUACACCCUAAGUCCCUUAUUUCAAAUUCAAUUUUAACUAAUUAGUCCCCCAAUUCAUGCCUUGUUGUCCAAGUAACAUUACCAAGUUCCUGAAAUCCAAACUAGAACCCCCUUCUAGAAGAUUCUAAGGGGUUCUAUUUUAGUUACUGUAGGAUUUUCUGAAUUGAACUACCUAUACUAUCCCUACAUUAGUCCUAAAAUUACUAACCUAUGUUAAUUAAACCUAUCCCAUUUUACCUUGGUCAAAAUUGACUAUGGUUAAUUAACAAGGAGCUGGAAAUGAUCAGCUAUAUUCAAACAAUUUCAAUCAUAAUAAAAGAAAACCUAAAAUUGAACUAAUAGUCUAAUUAUCCUAUUUUAAGUAUCAAAAUCUAAACUAACUAUAGAAUUGAACCUGAACAAGCAGAAUUAGUUCUAAUAUAAAUCAAGCCAAAAUUAAGAACAAAUAAAAUUGCAUGGAGUUAAUGUAAAUAGAAGAGGAAAGGAAAUCAGAAACUAAAAACUCUAAAAAACUAGCAAACAAAAUCGAAAAGCAGGCAAAAUACUGAUUAAUCAAACUAAAACAACUAAAAAUCAUAUCCUAGAACAAACAAGGAGUACGAUAGGAUUAAUUCUAAUAAAAUUCCCUAAAUUAUAUACUGGAGAAAAAUCAAUAAGAACUAAGCAAUAGCUAAAAAAAGAAGAAGCAAAAACAGUAAAAGAGAAUACAAGAAGAAAAGCUCACGCGAAUAUUAAAUUGAUCUCGACUGUCUUUGAACUUGAUCCCAAAUGAUGUUAUUUGCCUAUUCUUUGCCAAAAAAAGGCAAAUAACAUCAUAUAAGGAUCAAUCAACCACUGAGAAACACCCAAGCAGACUGAAAUCCCCAAAGACCCCAAAUUGGAACCCUAGAUCUAGGAUUCGAGCAACUCCGGUUAGAUUUGAAGAAAACUGAUUUGGGAUUUGGAAAGAAGAGGGUGAGGAGAGUCUUGGAUGUAAUUUGAAGGCGGUGACGGCUAGGGUUUUCAUUAUUCGAAGGGAUUGGUGUGGAUUUGAGAAAAAUGGAGGUCGGAUAUGGAAAGAGGGGGUGAAUGAGCAGCUAUGAUUUAAUUUUGGAAUUAUUUGGAGCCUCACCGCCGGCGGAAGUGAUUUCCGGCCGAUGACGGAUGGUGGAGGUAAGCGGAGUUACGUCGGAGGUUAGAAGGGGUGUGAGAUGAUGAGAGAGGUAGGGGAGGUGUCACGACCCAAAACCAGUUGUGAUGGCACCCAGCCCUAAAGCUAGGUAAGCCUGACCAACAAUCGCUUCCAAUUCAACACUAAGUCUCCAAAAAUCGAUAAUAUAAGAAUAUUAUAUUAAUUUUAGAAUAAUAAUCCAAAAAUAUUAAUAUAGUAAUAAGGAGAAAUACGGAAGACCGAUAAACACCCAUAAGAUCUGGGGUCACGAGUCUAGAGCCUCUAAACAAAACUGUAUAAUAAUAUCUGGAUGGAAAUAAUAAAAUCUCGAAUGUAUGUAAUAAUAAUAAACUGGAAAAAAAUGAAAAACAGUCAGGUCCUGCGAACGUCAUGCAGCUAUCUCAACGACUUUGGAAAUAUCUCUGGAGACUACGAGUGUCAGCUAAGCCUCCGGUGUACCGGAAUCUGCACACAAGAUGCAAGGAGUAGGGAUGAGUACUACCGACUCAGUGAAUAAUAAGCAUAGAAAAAUGUCUGAAAGUAAGAAAUCCACGAAAUACCACAAAGCAAAGCUAAAUAUAAUAGUCCUAUUCCUUAGCUACGAACUAACGGAAAAACAAUAUCAAAUAUAACAGUCAAGUAUCAGAUAAAGAUGCAAUGCAAUGCACGUGAAUACACUGCGUCGCGCAACCCGAGCCAUCCAUAUUUAUUUAUCGUCGACGACGCUCACUGGGGGUGUGUACAUACUCCGGAGGGACUCCUUCAGCCCAAGCACAAUAUAAAUAUAUAACCGUUGCAGCAUGCAGCCCGAGCCAUCCUCAGUCUACAGUAUGCAUGUAAGUCACAUAACAGAUUCAAUCUGAUUCUUUGCCAGUUUCCAAUUAUCAAGGUGAAUAUAAUUUAAUUAGUCAAUUUCAUAAAUAAGGUGACUUAGCAUUUACUACAGGGAUUAAGCACAAGACUGAGAUCAAUGAUUACGCAAAUCAUGUCAUCAUACAUAUAUUUACCCUAGUCGGGUACUACAAGUCGCCACACAACCCCAAACAUGGCAUUAAGCCAAAUUAUCAACAAUACAAUAUGCGUUUCAGCCACCAAUAAUUUAUAUUCAGCUCUCGGGAUGGACCAAGUCACAAUCCCCAACCAUAUACCCUCCCGCACUUGCCAUGGGGUACGAGUCACGCCCUAACAUAGCGCACGAUAUGAUAAAUCGAGGUUUCAAACCCUCAACCCAUCAUCUAUACAAACUGCUCACCUGUAACCGGCCGUAUAUUGGUCCGCAAUGCUUUUUCCCUUCGAAUCUCCCUCUACAAGCGUCGAAUCUAGUCAAAAUCACAACGAAUACGUUACUAUAGACUAAAUAAUCAUAACACAGUUAAAAUUAUUCAAAAAAUACUAAAAAUUACGAAUUGGUAAAACCCUUAGUCCAAUUAAUAAAUUAUUCUAUACAAACUUGGCAACAGUAGCACUUCAAAGUGCCGAAACAAUAGUAGCUUCAUAACUUAUGCCAUAACCUAUACCAUGUAGUUUAUAUUACUCCAUCAUUACUUGCAAUCAUUACAUCAUGAUUGGCAAUUAUACUUUAUGUACUUAAUAAUAAAUAAGCCAAUACUGUAGGUCUAACAUAGGUUCAAUUUACUGUAUAAGUGUACGAAAAUCUUUGUACAUCCAAAAUUCCCAUCUCAUAUUUAUUAUUUAAAAGCUAACACUCAUCAGUUCCCUCAUUAUUAUCCAAUCACCAUUCAAUCAUUGUAUCUUCAUAAACCAAAGUGCAAAUUGUAAUCAAUAUCCAGAUGCAAAUUGAAUUCCUGGUGCUUUUGUUUUCGUCCACGCCCAAUUAUAAUCCAGUUCCUCCAAUCUCUUGUUCCGCCCUCCGUCUAGUCUCCCGUAUUCUAUUUUAUCAGGGGUUUUCUUUUCCUUUUCCUUCCUUUGUAGUAAAUAGACCCCAAAAUUUCAAUGUUCCGUAUGUUAGGUCUUUUCCCGUGGGCCACCAUAAAAAUACAUAUAUAUGGUCUAGCCCUAACGUUUACCACAUAUUCAAGUCUAAAUUAAACUAAAAUUUUCGAAACUUGCAUUUGAUUUAAAACCCGACCUAAACAUUUCCGAACGAUCUGAAAAUUUGCACGCAUAUCCAAAAUCACCUAACGGAGCUACUACAACUGUCGGAAUUCCAUUCUGACCCCCGGAUCAAAAUCUCACCUAUCAACCGGACUUCGCCAAAAUUCUAACUUAGUCAAUUCAAGCCUAAUUCUACAUCGGUCCUCCAAAUUCAGUUCCGAUUUCGCUCCUAAGCCACAAAUCACCAUCCGAAACUAGUCGAAUUAUCGGAAAUCCAUUCUGAUCCCUCUAACUCAUAAGUCAACGUUUGGUUGACUUUUCCAAACUAAUCUUCUCAUACAGAGACUAAUUGUCUCAUAUUUGUCCAAACUCCAUCCGAAUUACCUCAAACUCUCCAAACACAUAUAAUGGGAUAUAUGGAAACAUAAAACGGGGAAAACAAGGUAAUAUUUCACGGGACCACGGGUCAGGUCAUUACAUCCUCCCCAACUUAAAAAACACUCGUCCUCGAGCGUGCUCAGAGUUGUACUAGGAGUCAACCAAUCUCUGAAUGACCUUACCAAACAUACACCCGGGGUGAUCCCACGUACCCUAACUCAUAUAUGCCCGAUAACACAACACAACUAAAAUUUCACAGGCCGUCUAGACCAUAACCGUAAAGUCACAUUGCACCUCCGAAACCAUAUACAAGAUCAGAACCUCACAUUUAUACUCAGAAUAAGCCUGAGCCGACUGUAAUAACCCAUACCUGCAACUUCAGGUGCACUCACAUGAUAUACCGCAUAUCCUAACACUCGAAAUGAUAACUUAUAUCCACAGUAGUUGUCCACAACAACCAUGUACCAAUAGAAAUCCCUUAUUAGCUGGAGUCUUAUCCCAACACUGCUAUACUCUAUCAAUGAUAAUGAACACACAGUAGACCAUAACCAUUUCUCAUAUCAACCAUUCACGAAGACAUUGCUUCCCCUUUGACUAAUACCACAAAAGAUCUCCGAGCCGAAACUCGAUAUUAACCUUCCAACAAGAUGAAACCAAAUCCGUUCAUACCCAUUAAUGACCCCAAAGGUCUCUUCUGACCAAACACACCAUCAUGGUGACAUGACACUUCAAUACGGCCUAAGCCCCAACUUAGAUAACGCAUACACCAAUAAGAGACGGUCUGAACAUACUCAAGUCAUGAAAAUGACUCAAACGGAAGAGUUGCACCUUAAUCUCAUCAAUACCGUUACAACACAAGGCUGAGACCCCGUAUCAAAUCAUAGGAAUAGAAUACCUGAACCUUUCCCGAAGGGUCUAAUCUCCACGUAGCCUCGCUAUAAUGUGUGAUCUCAUCCAACACCAUUCCACAUGAAGCACCUCGAGUCGCUAUACUCGAACUUGACAACCACGCACACAUUGAUGUCUGAAGCCAAGCAAUCCAUCACACUCACGGUGAAGUGAGUUAUAUACACCAUUCAAUCUUGAAAGAACCCAGUCGAUGCGCUAUUCGCCGAGCAACUCCCAAUACGAACUUUCCUAAAAAACCAGGAAAUAAGGCAUACCAAGUAACACGCGGAAACUAUCCUCAACGUCACACUAUUGCGGCGCGCAACCCGAUCCAUAUAACAUAACCUUCUCAUACAGAGACUAAUUGUCUCAUUAUUAUCCAAUCACCAUUAAAUCAUUAUAUCUUCAUAAACCAAAAUGCAAAUUUUAAUCAAUAUCCAGAUGCAAAUUGAAUUCCAUGUACCAUUGUAAGAAUUAAUACCUGGUGCAUUUGUUUUCGUCCACGCCCAACUAUAAUCCAGUGCCUCCAAUCACUUGUUCCGACCCCCGGAUCAAAAUCUCACCUAUCAAUCGGACUUCGCCAAAAUUCUAACUUAGCUAAUUCAAGCCUAAUUCUACACCGGACCUCCAAAUUCAGUUCUGAUUUCGCUCCUAAGCCACAAAUCACCAUCCAAAUAGUCGAAUUAUCGAAAAUCCAUUUCGAGCCCUCUAACUCAUAAGUCAACAUUCGGUUGACUUUGAACUUUGACUUUUCCAAACUAACCUUCUCAUACAGAGACUAAUUGUCUCAUUUCUACCCAAACUCCAUCUGAAUUACCUCAAACUCUCCAAACACAUAUAAUGUGACAUAUGAAAACAUAAAACGGAGAAAACGGGGCAAUAAUUCAUCGGACGCCGGGUCAGGUCAUUACAGGAGGCCGUGUUCGGACAUGUAUAUACUUAAGGAUGGGGCUUCAGGACCGUUAGAUCAGAUAACCUCGACGGUCCUGAUCGAAUGAGCCUAGAACGACGUCGUUUUGUUGUUUCAAGGACUGAAUAGAAUCAAGGUAAUUUUGGACUGAAUUUUGAGUAGAUUUGAGGAAUAUUUGAGCUGGCCAGUUGAUUUGAAUAUUAGCCCAAACUGGCUGGCAUGCUUCUCUUUUCUCUUUAUUUUCUUUUCAAUUAAUUUCUUUUUCUUUUUCUUUUACUUUUUUUAAAAUUUUUAUUUAAUACAAAAUUAAAAAUAAAGAUCUGAGUUAAAUUCUACAACUAAACUAAUUAAUUUUCAAGAAUUAACUCCUAAUUUCGAACAAACUAAAACCUAUUUGAGAAUUAGAAGUAAAAAUGUAAAAAGAACUAUUUUGUUAUAUUCUUCUAUUUUUGUAAUGUUAUUUAACCAAUAAAAGUAUAAAUAUAAAAUUGAAUCCUAAAUGCAAAGGUACUAUAAUUUGUAUAUAUAUUUUUUAUAAAUUAUACCAACUAAAAAUAUAAAUAAAAUACAAAUAAUCACAAGAAUUAUAUAAGUAACUCUAAAAAUCAAACAAGUUAAAAAAAUUUAAUUUUAAAAAUUUUAUAGGAGUAAUUUAAGCGAAGUAAAAAUCACGUAGACUACAGCACUGUAGUCCGAUUGUAAAAUUUUGUGUUACUUGACAAACUCACCCUUUUGUAAUCAUAAUGUGUAUCAUAGUUAUCUUAGAUGGAUAGGAGUAGAAGCAACACGUGUUACUCAGGAAACUGCAUGUAUUGUCCCUAAUUUGUCUCUAUUUGGACACGUCCUAGCAAUAAAAAUUUCACCUGGUGAAGUCUCCUUGGUUGACUCAGCUUCCUUUAGAAAUUUUGAAACCGUUCUCAUAAUUUCAAUUAAGCUUGAACGACCACAGUCUGUUAAAAUAAUUUUAUUUCGCUAUUUUUCGACUUUGCUUAUUAUUGGGUCAAAAUUUGAUCUCAUGAUAAUAAAUAAUAUCGAUAUAUUUAUUAAAAUCUAUUUAUGACUAAUAAAUAGUAUGACCAUUUAUUCACAAGAUUAUCGGGUAGUUAUCCAAUUUGACAACUAAGGACACGGCCUGGUCGUCUACACGAGGGCGUCCCCUUUAUGUGGUCCCAACUCCUUGGCGCUAGCUGGCAGAUCUCAUGGCUGAAAAUACUAAGAGAAAGAACCCUAAGAGGGAGGUUGCUUCUUCUUCACAUCUCUUUCUAAAAGAAGAGAGAAUACAUCAUUGUAAGGCUCUGAACCUCUCCGUGGAGAGGCAGACCAAACCAAUAUCAUUAAUAAAAGAUCCUCAUCCUCCUCCCUUUAAUCUAUAACUGUUGUCUCUUAUAUUUUAUUCAUUUAGUCUUUGGAUUUAUUACGAUAUGCUAUGAUUGGCCCUCCGUUUAUUUGUUUUAUGCUUCUAAAGUAAAUGAACACUUUGAGCAAAACAAUUUGGCGCCGUCUAUGGGGAUUUCAUAGCAGAAUCACGUAGUUUAUCCUUAGACCGAAAAAGGAAAAUGAACAACACAGCUCGAACGAGCCCAAGUGGCAUACCAGAUCAUAGGAAGUCAAAAACCUCGAGAUAAGCUUGGUUCCGCAUCCCCGCGUCUCCGAGCAAAGGGAAGAAGAAGAAGAAGAAGAAGAAGAAGCAUAUCCCCCAUCCCUAUGAGGAAAAUAGGCCUAAGGUACCUCACCCCCUCUCCACACGGGAUCUUUCCAAAAGGGAGGACAGCACGAAAGCAUCUCUCUAACCGAGAGCUCUAAUGGGGUGACCCGCGCGAGUAAGUCAAAAAGGCCACAAGCGUAAGUUGGGCAAGAUCUAAAACCAGAAGCAAAUCUCAACCCCCUGCACGAAGCGGGUUAUGUGGGAAAAAUCACAAAGGUUCAACUACGGUUGAACGUCAGCUCAGGCUAUGCGCCUUCACCCAAAGUUUAACUAUGGUCGAACUGGGACUCAGGCUAUGUUCCUUCGACUUCAAAUAUUACAAAAGUUCACCUACGGUUGAACGGAAAUUCAGGCUAUGCACCUUCAGUUCAAGCUAUGCGCCUUUUUUUUUCAGGCUAUGCGCAUUCGACACAGGCUACGCGCAUUCAAAUAUUAUAAAAGUUCAACUACGCUUGAACGAAAAUAUAGGCUACGCGCCUUCACAUAAAGAUUCAACUACGGUUGAACGAAAAUAUAGGCUACGCGCCUUCACAUAAAGGUUCGACUACGGUUGAACUAGGACUCAGGCUAUGCGCCUUCGACACAGGCUACACGCCUUCAAAUAUUAUAAAAGUUCAACUACGCUUGAAUGGCAAUACAUGCUACCAUCUUCACAUAAAGGUUCAACUACGGUUGAACUAGAACUCAGGCAAUGCGCCAUCGACACAGGCUACGCGCCUUCAAAUAUUAUAAAAGUUCAACUACGGUUGAACAGAAAUACAGGUUGCGCGCCUUCGAAUAAAGGUUCAACUACGGUUGAACUGGGACUCGGGCUAUGCGCCUUCGACUCAGGUUGUGCGCCUUCACAUAUAAAUUCAACUACGGUUGAACGGCAGUACAGGCUAUGUGCCUUCACACAAAAAGUUUAACUACAGUCGAACUGGGACUUAGACUACGCGCCUUCGAAAACUAUAAAGGUUCAACUACGGUUGAACGACAGCUCAGGCUACGUGCGUUCACCCAAAAGUCCCACUACGAUUUAGACUAGGUGUCGGACCAAAUGCUUCCACCACUGUGAAGUACAAAAGAAUUCAACUGUGAGGCGAAGCAAAACUCAGGCUACACGCCUCCGUCACAAAAGCCGCAAACUCAACCAUAGACGAACCCCAGGUCGGGCCAAGGGCCCCGCUAUUCAAGUAAGUACGACUAACUCAAACUAAAGUGUCGACCCGCGCAAAGUUCAGUCCAAGUCGAAUUACGAGGCCGUGCUUCAUGUAAAUACGACUAACUAUAACUAAAGUGUUGACCUGUGCAAAGUUCGAUCCAAGUCAAAUUACAAGGCCGUGGUUUACUUUACCACGGCCAAUAGUUCAACUAAGCCCUAACUGGGACUAAGGCUAUGUGCCUCCACUGCCCAUCCACGGCUACAACCCACUCUCCCAAGUGGAGGAAGGUGAUGACCAAGAGCGUCUAUAUAUGGCCAAGGCCAUCCGCAUCAAUCACCUCCUAAGGCGAAGGAUCGGUCAUACAAUGGUCAAAAUCACUUAACCAGUUGAGACUAUUAACAUGCCCGCCAGAAGAACUCUAAAGCAAAACCCUAGCAAACUGGCAUAAAAAAUAUAUAAUGUAUUUAACACAAAACAGACAGAAAAGAAGAAAACCUCAUAUAUUCACAAUAUUUAUUCGGGGUUACCCCCAAUUACAUUGGCCCAAGGCCGGCAAAAAAAAUAGAAAAAAGAGAACAAUAACUAAACAAAUAUUACAAAUUUUCUUACUCGGCGCCCCCCUCGGCAUUAUCAGCGCCCUCAGCGCCAUUAUCUCCCCCGGGGGUAGAAGGGUCAAACCCACAGUGAAGGUGGGCUUCACGAGCCUUUUGGCAGGACUCCUCGUAAGUGGUUUUAGACAUGACGCCAGCCUCCCGCAGCUGCAUGUACACGUCGAGCUGAGCAUCGGCAUACGUCUAAAGCUCGCGAGUAGGACCAAAAGCAGCGGCCUGAUCCCUCAGGCGCUGGUUCUCAGCCUCUAAGUCCACAAUCGAUCCUACGCAGCACGGGAAUCCCGAUCGUAGACGGCAAUACGCCCCUCUAACGAUCGUUCUCGAAAAGCAGCGGCAACCCUCUCUAAUCUACGUUCCCUUUCCUGGGCACGGUUGGUCGCCUACAGUGCCUCAACCCUCGCCAGGGCGUCCUCUGCCUACCUCCUUGAAGUGGCAGCCUCAGAAUCCAGGGCAGCCACCUUCCUGGUAUAAGCCUCAGCGGCCUCCGCCGCUGCAGCCAGAUUUUGGCGCUCCCUCUCGGAAGUCGCCCUCCUCUCAACAUCCACCCCUUCGUUCGCCUGGCGGAGCUGCUCCUCAAGAGUGGAUACCCUACUGAGGGUCUGUUGCAAGCGAAGAUCCCUCCGUGCUAGCUCUUCUACCAACUCCCGGUUCCGCGAGUCAUUCCAUAUGCGCUCACGCAAGACACCACCUUCCUGGUAUAAGCCUCAGCGGCCUCCGCCGCUGCAGCCAGAUUUUGGCGCUCCCUCUCGGAAGUCGCCCUCCUCUCAACAUCCACCCCUUCGUUCGCCUGGCGGAGCUGCUCCUCAAGAGUGGAUACCCUGCUGAGGGUCUGUUGCUAGUGAAGCUCCCUCCGUGCUAGCUCUUCUACCAACUCCCGGUUCCGCGGUCGUUCCUUAAGCGCUCGCACAACCCACGGCGCCGGUCACGGUAGCGGAGAUACUUCCCUAACAGCAACGCAAAAAAUACCGAACGAGCAUUAGCCCGCCUAAUGCUCUCCACCUCCAGCAAAAAUGUCUACAACAAACAGAGUGAAGGUUAGCACGAGAAGACAUGCUAAGAAAGAGAACAAACCAAAGUUUUUUGCACAUACCUUUAUACUUAGGGCGGCCACCUCGCCCAUCAGUCCGACGUCCAAAAUGCCUCUCACGGACGUGCUCUCCGCUUCCGAGCACAGGACCCCGAACAUCGUCACUAGGUUCUCCUCCUCGAGCAACAUGUUCACCCGUUAGAAAUCUCGAAAUAACGAUAAUCCCUCUCGGCCUGCACGGCCGAGCAGGUAUAAAACUCAUGUGCAAGCGGGAUGUCCUCGGGAUCCAUAUCGGACUUCGAAUCAUCCCUCUCUCCUGAAACGUCCCUUCCUCCUGCCUCCCUGGAAGUUGAGGCUUCCACCGCCCGAGACGUCAACGCGCCCAUAUUUGCCGUGACGUCAAUGCCUGCCGUCUCCACCAAAACUGCUGCCGAGGAACCACCUUCCCUCGCAGCAACAGGAACAGAAACUUGAGCCGCUGAAGCGACUGUAUCACCUUGGCCCAAGCCAACCGGGGCAACCCCCACAAAGCACUCACCUUCUGGUGCGGGGUCCGCUGCGCCCCCCUUCUCCGCCUACGGUGAAGAAUCUAAACUGACUACCGCCGAGAGGGCCGGGUGAACGCCACCUUGUGACGAGCCAGCAGCCUCUCAUCUUCUUCUUCAUCUCCAUUCGGUGAUUGAUCCGCCCUGGAACGUACGGCCCCUGGAGACUCCCCAACUCGGGACACGGGCCGUACCGGAGAGUGUGCAGCUGAAGACUCCACCGAAGUCGCCCUCAAAAUCGGACGAGGUGCCGGCAUUGUGAUCAUUCUGGCAGUCGCCCCGGGCCUGCGGAAAGCAAGCUGAGGAGCCCUCCUGCAUUGUGGUCGUUCUAACCAACCAAAGAAAAAGAGUUAGGUUAGAGGAACUAAGGAUUACGAAGAAAAAGCAAUAAUCAACAAAUCAUAUUCUUACCAGCAGCCGGCCUGCGGCCCAUGGGCCUCCCAGAAAUACGCCCACGUGCAAAUCCCCGUUGUAACAAGGAGCACAGCCUCAACCCACUCGCAGAUGCCUGAAAUUGGCACCGGUAGCGCACCUCCCACUAUCACACAGAAAGAAGAUCGUUACGUACAAUCAUAAAGCAGAACUCUUAGCCCAAAAGAAAUCAAGGGCAGUAUAAGAGAAACUUACGUGCAUGGUUCCAUUCCGCCGGGAAGUCAGUGGCACACGCCACCAGGUGCUCAGUCCUGAUGUAGAAGAAAUACUCGAAGGGACGAGUAGCAACCUCAUCAUCGAGCUCCGCAGUCAAGCCAUCGGUCCCACAAGGAACCAACCGGAUCAUAGUGCCACGUACCCUCUGAGGAGUGUACAGAGUCAACACGUGCCCAAGUGUAACUUCCCUCCGUGCCAACUCCGCAUAUUUAAUCAGCAUCGCCAAUAACUUGUAACGGGCAGGGACGAGCUGACCAGGGCAUACUCUGUAAUAGCAGCAAAGAUCCACCACCAACAAGGGGAGAGGAAGGCUAAAUCCCAUCCUGAAAGGGUAGGCAUAGAAGACGCAGUACUCUCGAUGGUCGACAUGCACCCUGUCGCCGCUCCUGGCCAAGACGAUGUCGGCAAAGCGAGGAAUCUCGCAUUGCUUCCUCAGUUGAGCUAAGCCAACCUCCCCCAUCAAUGGAUUCUCGUCCAAUUGAUCUUCUCCCUCAGGGUCGGUAAAAUCGAUCGUCGGACCGCCGAGAAGGGAAAGGAUGUCGGUCACCGACGGGAACCGAUCAACGGUCGGCGAAUCAGUGGCUCCCACCAUAGAUGGACUCUCUGCCGCCGCAACCGCCACCGAAACUGCACCGGAACGGGAACUGCUCGCCAUUAUCAAUAUAACGAAAAGAAAAUGGUAAAAUUCCCUGGAAAACAAGAGAAUACGAAUAUCCGACGAGAACGACGGAGAACGAAUCAAAAAGAACUGAAAAACCAGACAAUCUACUGGAACUGCACCGAAAUGGGAACUUCUCGCCAUUAUCAAUAUAACAGUAAAAAGAUGGUAUAGUUCCCCGAAAAAACAAGAGAAUACAAAGAUCCGACGAGAAUGCGGAGAAUGAAUCAACAAGAACUGAAAAACCAGAUAAUCUGAAAGCGGGAAAGCUUAUCUCCCUCAGAAUUCCACGUAGACAGAUAUCAGAAAAGUGAGAACUGAGCAAUACAACCCAAUAGGCAAAACGUGAAUGACCCUCACGAAUCCCAAAGGUCAUCAUUAACUACCCGACCAACCGCAAAACGACUCAGACCUACGGUAACGGGCACCAUCAUGACAGAAACCAUUAAACGGUCAUUCAACCGUCAAUUAGUACGUCCCUCAUGAAACAGUUGUGACAACCCAAAGGUGCCAUAGGCAUGCCCCAAGCGUCACCUAGCGACGCGAUAAGCGUGAUCGUACUCUCCCCGUGCACGUAUAAAUGGCUACAGCCAUCUCCGAAGUAAAAAUAGUCACGGCCAUCUCAGAACUAAAAAUGGCUACGGCUAUCUCAGAAAGUAAAAAUGGCUACGGCCAUCUCCAACAGAUAAAACGUUUAUGACCAUUUCUAAAUAAAAAACGGCUACGGCCACUGCUAAAAGAUUAAAAGGCUACGGCCAUCUAAGAAGUAAAAAUGGCUACGGCCAUCUCCAAAUCAAAAAUGGCCACGGCUACCUCAGAAGGUAGAAAUGGCUACGGCCAUCUCCAACAGAUAAAACGACUACGGCCAUUUCUAAAUCAAAAACGGCUAUGGCCACCGCUAAAAGAUUAAAAGGCUACGGCCAUCUCCGAAGUAAAAAUGGCUACGGCCAUCUCAGAAGUAAAAAUGGCUACGGGCAUCUCCAAAUCAAAAAUGGCCACGGCCAUCUCAGAGGGUAAAAAUGGCUGCGGCCAUCUCCACCAGAUAAAACAGCUACGGCCAUUUCUAAAUCAAAAACGGCUACGACCACCUCCCAAGUAAAAAAUGGUUACGGCCAUUUCCGAGGAACAAUAGGUUAUGAUCGCCCUCAUCACGUAAACAACCACGGUUAUUGUCGAAAUUCGCUCAUCGAGCUCGCCCCGAGCCCGACCUCAAUAAGCGGAGGGACUAUCUGUAUGGGUAAUAACCUGACCUCAUGCUAAUCAAUGAUAUUGAACUAUGGGUUACGAUCGCCCUCAUCACAUAAACAGUCACGGUUAUUGUCGAAGCUCAUCGAGCUCGGCCCGAGCCCGACCUCAAUAAGCGGAGGGACUAUCUGUAUGGGUCAAAACCUGACCUCAUGAUAAUGAAUGAGAUCGACGUAUUUAUUAAAGUCUAUUUAUAGCUAAUAAAUGGUAUGGCCAUUUAUUCACAAAAUUAUCGGGUAGUUAUCCAAUUUGACAACUAAGGCCACGGCCUGUCCGUCCUCACGAGGGUGUCCCCUCUUUGUAGUCACAACUCCUUUUAUGGCCAUUUAUUCACAAGAUUAUCGGGUAGUUAUCCAAUUUAGAUUUAUUACGAUUUGCUAUGAUUGGCCCUCCGUUUAUUUUAAUUGUUUUAUGCUUCUAAAGUAAAUGAAAACUUUGAGCAAAACACUCAUCAUUUCUCCAUAGUUGGGGUUCUCCUACUGAUAUUUCCGGUUGUUGUUUGUAUCGCGUUUUUUUUCUUCUUUGGUAUCUCUCCUUUUUUUUUCAUCUCAAGUUCUUCUGCCGAUGCUUUUCCUGCUGUAACGGAUAUCAUAUUGUCUUAAUUAAAUAGAUAAUAAUAUGUGCCAAAAUUCAAAUUAUAGCAUAAGAGAAUGAUAGAAGGCACUGUUUCAACAUUUUAAAAAGAAAUAAGGUUGAGAAAAGAGGUAAAAUUAAGGAACACCACAAGAGAAUGGCUCAUUAAUUGGCAGCUAAAAAAGGUUGCAUCAAAUGACAAAAUCACCAGUUCUUAUGUGAUGUACUGACUACGCAAAAGAAAUAAGAAAAAUUAAACAAUAAAAAUUAGAAAAGAGAACUUCUUCGUUCUUGGAUCAUUACUUAGUAAAUUAAGACUUUUAGCGCAGAAGAAAAACAUCAAGAUGAAGAAGAAUAUGUAAUUCAAUUGUAACGAUCCGACCGGUCGUUUUAAUCUUUAGCGCAUCGUUCAGCAGUUGAAAGUUAUGAACAGCUAUAUUUCACGUAUAUUGACUUGUGCAUAUGGUCAGAGUUAAAUUUUGGGAAAUUCGGAGUCAAAUUGAAAAGAAAAUUUUCAUUGCCUUAAGUUGAAGAAAAUAGCUAAGAUUGGAAUUUUGAGUAAACGACCUCGGAAUCGAGAUCUGAAAGUUUCAGCACGUUCGUAUAAUGAUUUCGAACUUGGGCGUAUGUCCAGAUUUGGUUUUGGAUAACCCGAGAGCAUUUCGGCGUAUAUUGUGGAAGUUAGUAUUUUAGAAGAAUUUCAUAAAGGGUUGGAAGGCAUUUCAAUAUUAUAGAUGUCCGUUUGGGAUUUCGAGUCUGGGAAUAGCUCCAUAUGGUGAUUCUAGAGUUGGGAGCGCGAUCCGAAGUGAAUUCGGAUGUCCCGAGGUCAUUUUAAAGUCAUUUGGCUAAAUACAGAAACUUGAAGGUUUUUGAGAAAAUUCGAUCGGAAGUGAAAAUUUUGAUAUCAGGGUCGGAAUACGAUUCCGAAAGUUGGAGCAAGUCCGUAAUAUCGAAUGUGACUUGUGUACAAAAUUUGAAGUCAUUCUAGAAUGAUUUUGGUAAGGUUUGAGACACUUAGUCUCUUUUAAGGAAGCUUAAGUUGGAAAAGUCAACUCGAUAUUGACUUAUGUGUUAGAGGGCUCGAAAUGUGAAUUUUAUAGUUCGGAUAGCUUCGUUAGUUGAUUUGGAAUUUAGGAGUGUGUCCGGAAUAUUUUUGUGAUGACCGGUGUAGAAUUAAGCUUGAAUUGACAAAGUUAGUAUUUUGGCGAAUUCCGGUUGAUAUGUGAGACUUUGAUUCGAGGGUCAGAAUGGAAUUUCGAGAGUUAGUGUGGUUUUAUUAUGUCAUUUUGGACUUGUCUGCAAAAUUUGAGGUCAUUCGGACUAGUUUUUACGUGUUUCGGUAUCGGAUGUGGAAGUUAGAAGUUUCAAAGUUCAUAGGCGUGAAUCGGAAGUGAAUUUAGUAUUUUAGCGUUGUUUUUGGUGAUUCAAAGGAACAACUAAGUUUGUGUCAUAUUAUGGGACUUGUUAGUAAACCUUGUUAGGAUCCCAUGAGGCUCAGAUAAAUUUUGGAAGAGUUUUUGGAAGAUUUUGGCAUUUUGAGCAUAAGCAUAUAAUGAUCCAAAGGUCCAUUUUUUAGUUGUACAUAUCGAAAUUUGAUUUCGAGACUUUCGGAAUUUUGAUAAUGAAUUAUAGGAGUGAUCUGAAAAGUUUGGUUUAAUUUCAUCAAGUCGCGAUUGGGUUUUUGACGCGAAAUGUGAGUUAAUUGUUUAACGAGUGAAAUGAGUAUUGCACUGAGCAAAUGAGCCCCGAAUUAAGUUUUGAUUGAAGGACUAUGUUCGUAUUAUUAUUUGUGAUUCAUAGGAACAAGAAUUAUCGAAUUCCGAGUUCGUAUGGUGGAGUUAGAGCCUUUAGUCAAAAUAAAUAUUGUUGGUGCAACAGCAUCUGGUGCGCACCUUUAGCAACCAGAUUUGGGCACUUUUGGUAACGGGAGUAGGUUUUUAGCGACUAGAAUGGGUCUUUUUAAUGUUGUUCAGCUAUUUUAGCCCAUUUUAACAUUUUUGGGUGAAAGAACACGGCUUGAGGCAAUUUUUGAGCAAGAAAUCUUGAGGUAAGUCCCUUGUGAUCAUUUCUACUCCAUAAUAUUAAAUUACCAUCGAAUAAUCUGAUAAGAUUACAUAUUUUUGAAGUGUUUAAUUGGAGAAAAUCGGUAGAAAAAGCUGGUUUAGGACUUGUAAUUUUGAUACUUUCUAGGGUCGAUUUAAGGGGUCAAACGAGCUCCGAUUUUGGUGUUCUUUAUAUGUACGGACUCAUGAGAGGACGAAGAAUAUUGUGGUAUAAAAAUUUAUGAGUUUCAAAAUGUGGGUAUGGGGCUCGGGUUUUGUCAAAUUCGUAAAUUAUAAUAUUUUUCGAUUUCUUUCGAUUGGGUAUUGUCUCUUUAGUAUAAUGCAACAUAUUCGUUGUGAUUUUGGGCUGAUUCGACACACGUGGAGACCAAUUCAAGGGGGAAAGGCGUCGCAAAUUAAAUAAAUAGCCGGUUCGAGGCGAGUAAUGAUUGUAAAUGAUGUCUUGAUGGUUUGAAACCCCGAAUUUGCACAUCGUAGUGUUAUAUUGAGGUGAGACACAUGCUGGAUAAUGAGCGCGGAAUUCUUUACUACUGGGGAUUUGACUUGAUUCGUCCCAAUUGAUGAGUUUACUGUAUAUUUGGCUAAAACUGAUUUGUUAUUAUCAUGAUUUGGGCUUAUUCCCAUAUUUGGGUUUCAUGUCAAUUAUUUGAAUCCUUUAGGGAUUGAUAUCACUAUUUUUGCAUGAUUUUGCAUAUCAUUUGAUCUUAGUCCAAGGUUUUAAAUAUUGUUUUGCAAACUCAGUCAUUUUCUAAGAUUUGAAAACUUCAAUGAUAUUUUAAAUGAUGCUUUGAGAUGAGAAUUAUUAUUUUAAUAUUGCCCAAGAGGCUUAUGUAAAAUUCUGGACUGAGCAUGGAUGGAUCGGGCUCCGCGCCGCAGCAAUAUUAUACUCAUAUUGAGGACGAGAUCCUUGUUGAUUAUAUUGAUAUUGAGAUCGAGAGCCAGGUUGAUGCCACGAGAUGACUUGAUAUUGCGCUUGGGUUGUAGGAGCCCCUCCGGAGUCUGUACACACCCCCAAUGAGUGUCGUCAAUGAUAAAUAACUAUGGAUGGCUCGGGCUGCAUGCCGCAGUGGGUACCAGAGGGUACCUUCAUAUGCAUUGCAUUGCACUCAUGCAUUUGUUCCUCAUUUGCAUUAUCUUCCAUACUAAUUAUGUGCUCUUAUUUCAUUGGCUGGUUGCUUCAUACUGUUCUGAGCCCGAUGGGCUGAUACUGUUCUGAGAUACUGAUACUGAGCCAGAGGGGAAGACUUCUACUUGUUGUUUGGAAAAUUACCAGCUGUGUCCAUUUAGAAGUAGCUCAUUACAAAAAUUGGCAAUUGAUAAAAUAUUACUAAUAUUAGCCAAAAUGACCAAUUAGCUAUUUGUAGCAAAAAAAUNNNNNNNNNNNNNNNNNNNNNNNNNNNNNNNNNNNNNNNNNNNNNNNNNNNNNNNNNNNNNNNNNNNNNNNNNNNNNNNNNNNNNNNNNNNNNNNNNNNNNNNNNNNNNNNNNNNNNNNNNNNNNNNNNNNNNNNGUUAGAAUAGAUUGGAUAUAUCUUAAGGAGCUUGAAUCUCAGUUUUGGGAUGAUUUGGUAAAAUUUUGAGGUGGUUUGAAUUGAAAAUUUGAAGUAAAAACUGAAUAUGAAAAAAAUGAUACGUGUAUUACAUUGUGUAUCAUAUAUUUGUAUCAAUUCUGUAUUACAUGUAUAUUCAUGUAUACCAGUGUGUGAGAUACAUGCGUGAUAUAUGCUUGAUACAUGUGUCACAGAAGAAUUUUUUUGACAUCGAUUUAAUUAUGAAUUUUGAUACAAAACCAGUCCAAAUCACCUCCAAUCUUCCUCAAAUUUGUAUAAUGACUUAUCUAUAUGUUUUCAACGAAUUUUGACUAUACCCAUUAAAAAAAAUUCCUUGUUUGUUUUAAUUUUUGGAAUAUUGGCCAGAGGUUAGUAAGUUAAAACUUAUAUGUAAUAUUUCUGUAAGUUUCCCUUGUUGUUUUGAUAUUGAGCCCGAGGGGCAGAUUUUUACUUAUUAUUUUAUUGCCAAAUUACCUAUUUUACUGGUUUAAAAGAAAUUUCACAUGAUAUUUCAUUGAAUUGUUAUUUUAAAUGUUUUCACUACUUCUGUAUAGAAUGUUGUGUGCCUUAACGUGUUUUCUUACCUUCAGCCAUUAUUUAUAUUUAUUACUCACUGGGUCGGAGUACUCACAUUACUUCCUGCACCAUGUGUGCAAAUUCAGGCAUAGCAGAUUUCAAUACCUGAGAGAUAAUCCUUCCAGUCUAGAUGGUGUUUCAGAGACUACGAGGUAGUUGUUGGCGUUCGCAGUCCCUGUGACUCCUUUAUCUUAUUAUUUCUAUGUUAUUCGGAUUAUUGUAUCAGAUUUCGUAUUUAGUAGACUUGUGUCAGGAUUUCUUAGUUUCUCAUGACUUGUGACACCACAAUUAGGAUUAUGUGGGUUGGAUUUUUGCAUUUUACCUAUACGCUAUUGGAUAUUAUUAAAUCAUGUUUAUACUAUAAUUGUGUUAAUUAAAUUAUUUUAAAAGGAUAAAUUAGGUUGAAUGGCUGGCCUUAUCUUCACGAGAGGUUGGAUCGUGACAUCAAUUCAGAUCAUGAAAGGAAGAGUCCCUAGAGUCGGAUUGAUGAAGGAAUAACUUCAGUAAUAUCAAAUGCUAAAUUGCUAGCUAAUGGAAAAUAUGCAAUUUCGGCUUCUUCGAUAUGCACAAAUCAGAAGCUUUGCCUCAUGAUCUCGAGUUAAAUACUCCUCUAAUCACAAAUGACUGUGUCACGUCCCUUGAUAUAUAUGGAAUUUCGAUUCAAUAUUAAAUUUUUAACGUUUUUGUCAUUUGACUUGUACACAAAUCUGUCGUUGGAUUUCCUUAUGUUAGUGCAUAAGUACACAAAUUUUAAUAUCUAAAUACAUAUACAUACUUUUUCUUCAAACAGUUUUCACUUAUGUCUUGUGUGUUCAGUGAGUUCAAUAAAUGUUAUCUCAAAAAGUUAGGUAUAACUAUGAUUACAGAAUUAAUGGGAAAACUAGGUAAAUAAAUAACGGGUUAAGGAAAAGGUAUAGUAGCUCAUACCAGCAUAUUCAACAAAUGAAUUCUUUCCUCUUCCAGCAUCAUCUCACUAUAUAUUGGCAAUACAAGACAAAGGAAAACAGAAUAAAUUACAUCCCUAUAAAGGGUUUGGGGUGUGUGUGUGGGUUGGGGGGNNNNNNNNNNNNNNNNNNNNNNNNNNNNNNNNNNNNNNNNNNNNNNNNNNNNNNNNNNNNNNNNNNNNNNNNNNNNNNNNNNNNNNNNNNNNNNNNNNNNNNNNNNNNNNNNNNNNNNNNNNNNNNNNNNNNNNNNNNNNNNNNNNNNNNNNNNNNNNNNNNNNNNNNNNNNNNNNNNNNNNNNNNNGGGGGGGGGGGGGGGGGGGGUGUGUUCAAAGGCUCAUCAUUUUGAGUCAGAAAAUACAUUUAAAGAGCUAAUCCUGUUCAAUUUCUUGUUCCUCCUCAUCUUCAAUUUCUUGCUCUUCCUCAUCUGCAUUUUCCUGCCCAUCUGUAUCCAUCUCCUCACUUUCUUGUUCAUCCUCUUCUUCAUUUCCCAGUUUUUUAGCGCUAGUAUUUCCUGAAGGCAGCAAGCAUGACAGUCGGAAUAAACUAAAACAAUGCCACAAAGUAUUACAAAAAAACAGAAACAAGGGGAAAUGACACUCUAUAGCCGCUCUCAAAAUAAUAGUCGAAUAAAUGUAUAUUUUGUGUAUAUAUAUACAUUUUGUAUGUUAUAUACAAAAGUUACACAAAAUUUUAUAUACUUUUUCAGCUACCAAAUGUAAAUAGUUUCUAUCGCGGGCUAAAAGUGAUAAUACCCCUAUAACAACAACAAAAACAACAACUACCCAGUAUACUCCCACCAGGUGGGGUCUGGGGAGGGUAAUAUGUAGACGAACCUUACCCCUACCCGAAAGGGCAGAGAGGCUGUNNNNNNNNNNNNNNNNNNNNNNNNNNNNNNNNNNNNNNNNNNGGGAGGGUAAUAUGUAGACAAGCCUUACCCCUAUCCGAAAGGGCAGAGAGGUUGUUUCCAAUCGACCCCCGGCUCAUAGGAUAAAAGGAAAAACAGAAGUAAAACAAAAACAAAGACAAACAAAAAACAAUAGAGCAUUAGUAACUCCAGCAGAAAUAACGUAAAUAGCGUAAAUAAUUAUCUAANNNNNNNNNNNNNNNNNNNNNNNNNNNNNNNNNNNNNNNNNNNNNNNNNNNNNNNNNNNNNNNNNNNNNNNNNNNNNNNNNNNNNNNNNNNNNNNNNNNNNNNNNNNNNNNNNNNNNNNNNNNNNNNNNCACAAAUCAUCUAUGGGUAACCCUGCUGACCCACACCCAACCCCGGAUGAGGCGUACGAAAAACUCUAGGAGCCCCUAUCCUACAACCCUGAUAAUACCCCUAUAAACAAUCCUAAAAUUGGAGCGCACAAGGCCUACUCAGAACUGAGACCAAGCAUAGGAACUUGGUCGAAAGAAAUUACAUAUUUCAGCAUGCAUACCUAUCUUCUAACUAGUUUGAUGAAGAAUACCUAAAAACCCCAUCAUAAGGCCACAUUCUUGUGCCUUUGCUUAUGAAAUCACAUUGAUACUUAUUUUUAUUAAAUACAAACAAGAAAUCAAUGAAUCAUUAUUCUGCCUCUACCUCGAACUCCCCUUGCAUACUGCUGGUUACAAAAAUUCUGUAGUUGGCCGACCUAAUGGGCAGCCAAUUCACCAAAGAUAAUUCCCACUACAGGUGAUUCACUAAGAUAUACCAAGUACUUGGGCCGCAUGUAAACAUGAAGACAACCCGUAUAAUAGGCAAUUAAUCUUCUGAGUCUAUAUGGACAGGAUCCCAAAUUCUAUUUAUACCCUUCAAAGCAAUGUCAAAUCCUAUUCAUACCCUUCAAAGCAAUGCCAAAUUCCCCCUGCUCCAGACUAUCCACCCACCUCCAAUUCACCUGGUAAAAGAAAGAGGAUUGUUUGCUUCAAAAGUAAGAAAGGGAGGUUAUAGAGGAAAAUACCGUAUUCACUGAACAUGACUCGACCAGUACAUAGGCCCUCUUCAAUCUUGACGAGUUGAAGAGUCAUCUUAGGUCCAAGCUCUUGAAGUUUGACAGCACUUUUUGUAGAAGCUCGAUUAACUCUUCCAAUAUCAGAUGACAGACUUACAGUUGCCGCCUCAUCAUCUGGUUCACUUUCAGAACCGUAACCAGCCCUUCAUUUAUAAAGCAGAUAGAGACAAAUGAAAAAAUAAGAGAAGUAUAACAAUAAGAAGACUGUAAUCUUUUUGAUGAAGUAAUAAUAAUUAUUAAAAAGAAGGGCAAUAAAGCACCCCUACACAAGAAGUAUACCAAAAAGUAGAGAACACAAUAAAAUGUGGUUUUCUACUAAUGACAAUCAUUCUUCUAUCCAAACAAUAACCUCAUGGGUGCACCAAAAAGAAAUGAAAAAUAAAUUCCUCAAAUGGACAAAAUCUUUUUCUAUUCCAUCAAAAGCUCUUCUAUUUCUCCCUCCCAUAUGAUCCACAUAAGUGCUAGUGGUGCAACCUCCCACGCCCUAUGCCUUCUCCUUCUAAAACUCCAACUAAAAAAAACUUCUUUGACCGUUCCUAGCAUCACCAACUGAAUACCAAACCAACAAACUAUUUCUCAUGAUGACUGAAAUUGGAAUUUUCCGGAUUACCAAGACAUGCUAAGCACAGCAAAAUUGUUAAUAGCCAAAACGGAUACAUAUAUAUGCAUCUACUUCAGUUACAUCCUCGUCUCUAAAACCGCGACAUCCUUGCCCAUAGAAAAAAGUUUUGAGAUACUAAAAGGGUCAUUUAGUUGGCAGAAAAGUUUAGGAGGAUGGCAAACCAUCAAAUGAGGGAUGGAAUUGCACAAGAAAAAUUUGUUAGUUAAGUAAUUGUGGAUGAGAUUCAAUAAAAUUUUCUCCGGGUCUGGCUCAUGUAUUGGAAAUCAAAAUUAGCCUAUGGUCCUUUCGCAUUAAACUUGCUAUAUACAUCACCACGUGCACGUGCACUUUAUUUGGAGGAUGCACGUGCUGAGCAUGGGCCUGAGCUUAGAAGAUGCUGUUUGCUCAGUUGCUCAUUGGUUUUUACCUUUGUGGCUUGAUCCUUUGUAGCUUUAGACAUGGUCCCUGAAACUCAAAUGUCGUGUUUUCAAUUACAAUGUUUCUUUAGGUUCCAACCUCUGCGGAACUGUGGAUAAUACACAUAAGCAGCCUAUGCAGAUGAUCUAUGUGUUUGCUUGUACAUAUUUUCCUCUUCAUUUCUAGUUGAGUAGUUUGCUUUUAGAAUUGAGUAUGAAUGCAAGUACUAUACAUCAUCACAUAGCUUAGUAGACAACUAAUGCUUAAUGCCUUAAUCCACAAGCUAGAGAUUCAGUUUUAGAAUUACCCCAGGGCUUUGGUCCACCAGGACGGUGAUUCACAGUGAUCAAAACAAAGUAACAAUUUUGCUCCCAACCCAAGCAGAACAAUCAAUUGCACUAAUGGCACCAAUGAAUAUUCGCCCAGCACAUUGUUUUAAGGCACAGGAAACAAGAGGAAUUUAACCAAAAGAACAGAGAGUUUUCACCAACAAAACAAAUUAUGCAACCCCUGAUCUGCAAUGCCCAAACGUCAAAAGCAUGGAAGCUGUAUUCAAUGACCAGUUGAAUCUCGUGGAAGGUAAGCAUGUUGACCAAGAACUGUGUACUUAUAGUCACUUAUAAAAUAGUAUAGGAUUUGGAUAUAUGUGUGCGCAUGCAUACAGGAUUAAGUUGUCUACAAGGCCGAGGGAAGUGAGCAACCAUUGAAAAACGGAUAGAAUAAGGUGUUGGACGGAUCAAACGGGAUGGAAUUCUUCGAAGGAUCAACUUGGGUAAUAAUCAAAGAGCAAGAGGGGUGAAUGAAGGUAGUAGGGUUUAGGGGCCUUAAGGCAAUAGUGAAGAAGAAGUAACAUAAGAUUUUCCGCAGUAAUCAGCAAUCUCUGUUCUACAUAACACAAUUCCAUAGAGAAAAUAGUGAAGAAGUAAAAUUAGAAUUUCUGCAGUAAUCAGCAAUCUCAGUUCUACUUAACACAAUUCCAUGGAGAUAAUAAACACAGAUGGCAAUAUUAAGUCUAAACCAAGUUCUCAACUGACUAUGAAUAGAAAAAGGUUUAAUCCACCUCGCAAUAAACCAAAAAAAGAAGUCAUAAACCAGACAGAUUAAUGAAGGAAGAUUAUCUCAUGAAGUGCAAUAAAAAAUACAUAUGAGCAUUAAGAGAGAUAGACACAUACUCGUCACAAAGUCACUAACAUCCUGAAGACUUCUUAGGUCAGGCACUUGAUGGUUUUGCACAAAUUUCCUGAUCCGGCGAGAAACACCCACUGGCUGUAAUCUGAUGGAGUAAUGCCGAAGAUCAAUAAGCUUCGUUUCUUUGUUGUAAUUAAGUAACACAAUCCUUUGGCAUGAAGGCAGUUUGACCUGCAACGUGUAACAACCUUGCCAUUAAAAGCUGGUGAAACAAACUGUGGCAAAUAUAGAAAUUUAUAUAUGGUUCUCAGUUCUCACUCACUGUAUUUAUGUCAAUGGCAGGAAAAAUGUUCUGGAACAUUAUUGUAGUGAGCUUUAGAUGCUGCUCCCCAGUCCCAAAACCCGAUAGCACAAUCUGCAAGCAUAAUUCUGGAGCUCAGCUGACCGAGUAUAGAAACAAAAGAAUGCUAAUACGAGACAACCUACUUUAUGCAAUGCCAACAUCCCAUGUCUUCAUGGGUUUGCUUCUAGAUGUAUGACAGCUCAGCUGACCGGGUAAAGAAACAAAAGAAUGCUAACACGAGACAACCUACUUUAUGCAAUGCCAACAUCCCAUGUCUUCAUGGGUUUGCUUCUAGAUGUAUCAUGUACUUCUACAUGUUAAGCAGAUUAAGUAUGUACUCCUAGGUGCAUGUACAUGUCAGGAGGUGUAAAAUAAUUAGCUACGUGCCAACGGGGAAAGAUUACCAAUGGUGGGGUUUUAAAAAGAUCCGGAGGGCAUCUUGGACGGAGUUGAGAUUGAGCAACGUCAGCAGCCAACGAGUACUCAUGUAUUUUGAACGAUAAAGUUGGACCAUGAGGAGUGUGAGCAACUCUCAAGUAUGGUGCAGAGUCGGUUUUUGACAACAUGAGGUAAUGUGUGAUAAAGUUGGACCAUGAGGAGCGUAAGCAACUCUCAAGUAUGGUGCAGAAUCAGUUUUUGACAACAUGAGGUAGUGUGUGACACCCAUUUUCCCAGCAACUUUCCAGAAAUCAUUGAGAUUGUUUCGUUUCUUUUCCUGAAAAUAAAUUGGAAACAUAAAUCCAGUCAAACAUAUACAAAAUGCAGACAAGAGAAUCUUGUAAUAUUCAGAACAACAUAGAUACAGAUCAGUGUUAUAAAAGGAGAAAAGCGCAAAAAAGCUCUAAGGUCCGUUGGGGCUUUAAGCGCAAAGCACAAAUAAAGCGUGAGCUUUAAUGAAAAAAAACGCAACGGGAGAAAAAGUAAAAAUAUACAUAGUAGUCCAAGACUAAUCAUUAUAAGCAUGAAUAACAAAUAUAUGGACAAAGAAAUUGAAUAAAAAAUUCAUGAUAAAAUGAAAAGUUUUAAUGAAAAAAGGCGCAACGGAAGAAAAAAGUAAAAAUAUGCAUAGUAGUCCAAGACUAAUCAUUAUAAGCAUGAAUAACAAAUAUAUAGACAAAGAAAUUGAAUAAAAAUUCAUGAUAAAGUGAAAUAUCAGUUGUUUAAGGUCGCCAUUUCAGGAUUACACUCAUUGGCAAGGAAAAAUAUGCGUUAAAGCUUUGAUGCGAUACUAAAGCGCCCACAAAGCGAAGCGAAGCGCUCAACGUGUUUUGAGCCUCGCUUCAGGGCUUAAGCGCGCUUUAAGCGCGCCUUUGACAAUACUGGUAUAGAUAAAAUUUACAGCAGAAAACAUGUUCCUGCAUGUAGCUUAUUUCAGAAGACAAUUUCAGGCAUUGCUGCAAAAAGCUACGCAGCUAAUAAACCAGUGAAAUAGAAAGAAGAUAGAAGUGCUAAAGAGAUCUGAGCUGUCAAUGAACAUACAAUUUUAACUUUUGAUUUCCUCUUUUCAUUCAAAUAGUGGGAAUUCAGCAGCCAGCUGAAUACAGGCGUAAUGAAUACACAAGCCAAACGGAAAAGGUCAAUACAUGUGAAUACAUGCACGUACGGCCGGAGUGUCCUAAUUUUAGACGCUUUGAAUACAACACCGCGAAUACAUGUGAAUACAUGCGCGUACAGUUGGACUGCCUAAUUUUAGGCGCUUUUUGAUGUUGUAUUCAUGAAUACAUAGUGCGAAUACAUGUGAAUACAUGCGGGUAUAGCUGGACUACCCUACUUUUUAGGCGCUUUUUCUUGUUGUAUUCAUGAAUUCAUCAGCGCGAAUACAGCGAAUACACUACCGUAACAACUGAAUAGCAGCUAUAGGAAGUAAUUAUGUAUAUGGUAGCUAUAGGAAGUUAAUAGCCACUAAACAAUAGUGGUUUCUAAAAAUUCCUCUUAAAAUAAGAGAGAGGGAUAAACAUCACAAAUAACUAUCUAAACGUAAACAUAUUGAGCCAAAACUUAUUUACUACAUAACUUUUGUUAACGUCCAACUAUUAAUCAAAAUAUCUAAGUCAACAAGAAAGAUAUUAACAAAUGGAAUAGUAGGACUUUUUACUGAACCUCUUUUUUAUUUUAUCUAGUGGCUUAUUUGCGAUGAAAAUAUUAUUUUAAAGGGGAACAGUCAAGUUCUUGAUAUUUUAUUAACCGUUAAGCUUACCAUAUUUUUAGUACAAAAUUCUACACAAGUUUCAUUAUUUAAUUAGAGUCUCUUAACCAAAUACUUUUAAUUUCCAAUGAUAAGGCGGAAUGAAAUUAGAGUAACCCAGCAAAUAGUACCCAUUCAUAGUUAAGAGCUUCACUGUGUAUAACAUCUCCGAUACCAGUUCAAUGCUUUCUUUGUUUGCGUAAUUCUUGUGUUAAAUAUGGGUUUGACUUGAACCAUUUUUUACCGGUAUAAAUAUGUGCAAUUUGGGUUAUAACCCAUUUAUUUUCUAUUUAACCCGUUUUCAACCCGCUCAGAUUUUAGCUAACCCGCCUGUUUGCCAUCACUAGAAGUGGGUGAGAACCAUGAGGUCUCAGGUUCAAAUCUUCCCAUCUAUACAAGCUUUGGUGGAUAGAGUUACUUGGUACCUGUCCCGUGGACUUAGUCUAGGUGCGCGCAAGCGGGUCCGGACACCACGAUUAUCAAAAAAAUAUACUCGUAGCAAGAGGUCCUGAUCAUAUUCGCAGCCCAUGUAAAAUAAUGAGUCAGAAAAGACCACAUAAAUGUUUCUUGACUCAAAUCAAGACUGUCUAGCAAACACCAAAUAAUGCAACCCAAUGCACAGAUAUACAUGCAUACACUUGAAUUCUAUGUUAAGAUUACCUUGAGCUUGAGAGCAGUAUAAGGAUUCAUCAACUUCCUCAAGUCCAUUUGCAAGCGUCUGAGAGGCCCAGGAAGCUUCCCCCUUGCGAACACAAAGCUCCUUGGAAUCUUGUCUCCUGUAACAUGGUCUACUGUUGGCUGCUUCUUCGCAAUUUGCUUGACAAAUGGCUUCCUCUUCUUCUGAUUAAAUGAGCAUUCAAGAAUUCAGCUCAAACACCACCAAAAAAUUGUCACAGAGCUUACAAAAUUUCAGAUAAAGAAACCCAUUCUUCUGCAGAAUCAUUGGUUAGUUAAACAUCAUUUCUCAUUUCAAUUCGGGAAAAAAUACCCAAAAAAAUUUCCAUUGGUAAUUCGUUUUCCUUUGCUUUCACGGAAACCAAAAAUGGAUAAACAAAGUGCAACAUAUUCCAUUCAGACGACGGCUUCCUCACAAAAAUAUUCAAAAUUCCAGCUCAGAUGAUUAAACUAGUGUUUUUUCAGAAGGAAACCCAAAACUUUAAUCCAAUUAUAGUUAUUACUUAUCAUCACUUGUUCUAACCCGCGGAAAGACAAUAAAAAGGGAUAAAAUUUCAUGAAGAAUCCUUAUGGAAAUUAUAAACAGCUAAAAACUCAAAACAUCAAUUCAAUUUAAUGAUAGUUUUUUUUGUAUUAGAGCAGAUGACAAAACCAAAAGAAUCAAGGGUCACAAAUAAUCAGUACAGCUAAAAAAAUCCAGAAGUUUGUUCAUAGUUUCAGGGCAGGAAAAAAAGUGACCUAAAAAAGGGGUCAUAUGUAGUAGAGCUUAUUACGCAUUUUCACGAACUAACCAAACAUAGGAAUUAAACAAAAGCAGAACAACUUACAUUCCUGAAACGAGCCAUGCUCUCUUCCAAUAUGCGGAUUGCAAAUUUAUCAGUUUUGGGGAUUUUUAUAAAAACCCAAUGCUUCAGAGGUUUAGGGCAGUGAAGGAGGAAAUACUGGCUAAAAACCUCUACUCUUCAAUAAAGAGUUUUUUUCGUUAUUCCAAGGAGCCUUUCCUGUGUUAAAAUAUAGUCUUAGUGUGCGGGACGUGUGCCUAGCGUCAAUUAGUAAAAUAUGUUAUAUAAAUUAGAUUUUAAAAUAUGUGUCCAGAGUCAAUUAGUAAAGAACAUACAAAGAAUUUUAAAAUGACUACACUAGGUUAAUUAACUUCAUUUAUAGAAAAAUAUAAGAAGUUGUCAUUUGUUAAAGUGAGUACGAAAAGAAAAUUAAUGACAAUUCAAUUAGGAUAUGUUUGGUACGAAGGAAAAUAUUUUUGAUAAAAAAUAAGUGAUUUUAUUACUUAUUUUUUCUUGUUUGAUUGGUGAGUGAAAAAAUUUUUUCGAAUAUUUUUUAGUUUGUGGUUAGAUAAUAGAAAAUAUUUUAUUAAUGAUACUCUCCUCACCCUCCCCCCACCCAAAGUCCACAUGUCUCCUUGCUCCUCCUUCCCCCCAAAUUAAAAGAAAAUACUUAUUUGUUGAAAUAAAAAAAUAUAUUUAUAACAUAAAAGAAAGUACUAUUAAUAAUUUUUUUCAUUUAGGGUGAGGUGGUGGGGGUGGGGGUAAGGGUGAAAUGGUGGGGGUUGGUAUGGAUGUGGAAUAUGAUGGGGAAAGUUAAAAAAAUAUUUUUGAAAAUGUUUUCCCUUCUUUUGAUAGGGAAAAUAUUUUCGUCCAAUUAGAAGAAAAUAAGUUGAUGAGGAAAAUAUUUUUAAAAAUAUUUAAGCCAACUAAACAUGAAAAAAUUGAAAACAAAUUUCUAGAAAAAAUUUCCUCCGCACCAAACACACCCUUAGUAUUAUUUUAAUUUGGUUUAUCAUUAUUGCAUAAAGUUUGCAUUUGCACCAAUUUGGCUUAUACGAUUUAUAUGAUAAAUUUAAAAAAAAAGAUGACUGGCUUUUUUCUUUUGCAAAGUAAUUAAUUUAAAGAUUAUUUUUUGGUUGUAUUGAUUCAAGGACUUAAUAAUUUGUUCUUAACAUUAAAGAAAAUAAAUUAUUGUUGAUUCAACCUUAAUAUUAGCUCAUUCCAAAUUUAACUGUAAGUUUGUAAUUAAAAUUAUUAUUCAAUAAGAAUUUUAUGCUCAAAGAAUAAAAAAUCACCAUGGCAUUUCACUUUUGGUUUUUACUUGAGUAGUGUCAUUAGUGUUCUCUAACCAAUUAUUCUUUUUCUUUUAUAUUCUUAAAAUUAAAAUAUUUUCUUAGUUAAACUUGAUACCUAUAUUUUAGAAAUUUUGUAAAUACUCUCAAGCAUGGUUUAAUAACCAAAAUUUUAUUUAAUUUUCAAAUUCUAAAACAUAAAAAAAA
rnacentral:lncRNA from 1 species